CCUAAAAAUCUUCAUUUGGACUUGGAGGAUGAUUGGACACUGAAUAGAAACCUGGGAAAUGAGGGAGAAAUUGACAAAAAUAAUUUCUCUUUAUAUGGAAGAGUGGAAUCUAAGCACUGAGAAAAAUAUUAGAAUGUUUACUGAUCAAAGAAAUGUUAUUUUGACUCCUAGUCCUCCAAUCUACUCUUCAGAGCCUAUGCCUUUCAAGACAAUAAUCUUUCCAAGGAAGCUUUCAAUAUGAAACAUUGUGAAAGGAUGCUCGUCGACCUGCAAUGCAAAAUACAUAGAAGUGUGCUGAUAAAUCUAACCCA